AGCUCCUUGCUUCUCCAAUGAAAAUAUACGAUAUUGCAGCACAGACAUCAAAACAAGACAUUUAAUGCAGGGAAUCGAGCGAGAUACAACAGGAAUUGAACCAGCGAUGUGUGGCUAACAGCAUCAGCAACGAAUGACAUUGUGGAUGAAGAAUUAGAGAGAAGUCAAGAUAAACAGAACUGCUGUUCUUUUGCUGAAGCCCUUCAUAAUGCUAACCACUUUGUAGAGUGCAUUGAGGGCUUUUUAUGUGGCACCAACACCUGUGAGAUUCUGCAGUUUUGGGAUGAACCACACUAAUAGCAUUUCUCUGCUCUAAGAACAAUGGGACAUGGAAAAGGCCCUUAACAAUGAAGAAAAGUCUGUCAUCAUAAAGGAAAGUGCUAAAAGUGCCUCCCUUUUUGUCAUUGCGGAGAAGUUAGAUCAUCAUGUGGACACGGUUAGACGAUUCCUGAAGGACCCUUUGCCGAGGAAGAAACAAUCCGACUGUGGAACCUCCAAGACUUUGACAGCUAAAGAUUUAAGGAAUACUGGUUGCAAGUUACAUGGGAGGCCUGGAAAAACAAGCAAGGCCAUUGUCACCACCUCCGGACAACCUCAUGUACUGAAAACCACCAGAAAUUGCAUCCUUGGGACCAUGGCUUCUGUGCAAGAACCCCUGAAACUGCCUCCUUUAACACUUCAUCACAGGAGUUUGAGGCUUCAAUGGGCCCAAAAGUACAGAAUGUUAGACAUAAGUUGUAUUCUGUUCACUGAUGAAACCAGGGUGAUCCUUGACAGACCUGAUGGUUGGGAAAAUGGUUGGGUCUAUUUUGGAGAUGAGUGUCACCAACAUUUAUGACGUCAACAACAGGGUGGAGGAGUCAUGCUGUGGGCUGGUAUCAAUGGGGACAGACAUGCUGGCCCAGUCAGGGUGAGCCUGAAGGGGUUAAAGUGACCACAGCUGCCUACUGCAAUCUCCUGAAGGAGGUCUUGGAUCCCUGGUUAGAUGACAUACCGCUGUCACUUCUAAGGAAUCUCGUAUUCAUGCAUGACAACACUCUCUCCCACUCUGCUAGGACCACCCAAACAUUACUAGGGUCUUACAGCAUACAAGGUAAAAGGUUGAUGGUGUGGCUGCCAGCAUCUCCAGAUCUCAACCCUAUCGAAAAUCUUUGGUCCAUCAUUAAACAAGAUGUUUAUACUGAUGGACACCAAUUUACGU